GACACGGGCCACAGAUCCUCUUCACUAGGAGGCAGUUGAUUCUGGAGGAGCAGAGCUGGCCCCACAUAAAGGCGUCAAACUGAAAAGCACCACCGUGAAAACAGUAGUGAAAGGCCAGGUGUCUCCCUUUACAAGAGGGGUACCACACUUGCCGCAUUUUUGUAACUGGGGUGAGUUGGACUCUUUCUUGAAGAAGGAAGACAUUGUGGAAAUGCACCCUCAGCCCUGAGAUGUCACCAGCCAUUUCUACUGGCCAGUCUUCCAGCAGCUUAUCAAUUUUACCUCCUCCCAAUAGAAGAGACAAGCUCCCAUCUACCUGGAAGGCCAAUCCGUACUCCGUGUGCCUCCAGUGACUGGAGUAACACAGCACAAAAGUCACUCCAGUCUGAAGACCUAUUCAGUCUCAACUCAAAGGACUGUCUCAGGGAGGACCAUGCUCCCAGGAUUCCAUUGCUUCCUACAAUAUCUGUUUUCAGUGGCUAGUUCCUAUUUUUCUCCAAAGCCAGCCACCUGCUACCCAGUUAUGAAUAGCUCAACAAGUCACCCAUGAGAAUUCCUUUCUGACCAUAUUUAAGCACAAUGAACUGAAAGCAAGUUAAGGCAUGCCUGGAUUCCAUUGUGAGUGGACUUGGAUGCUGGCCUUUGAAAGAUUUCCAGAGGCAAAUGGGCGCGGUUCUUGAUGACGCUUUUCCAGGAAGUCUUCACGUCUAGGUGACAACAGUAACAGUAGAAGGCCAGAUUCCAAGAGAGCAGUGGGAUGUUGGCAUUCUGUUGCCUCACUCAGCCAUCAUCAGAGAUGCUUCCUCCUGCAGGAGAUGGGAAUGAAUACAGAGACCCACAACUGGGAAAUGUGCAGAAAGCAAGAGACCUUGGAUGGGAUGUCUCCAUCAAAACCCUCCCCUGAGGGCUCAGGAGGAAGGGGAGACAGAAAGGCUGUAAGAGUCAGUGGGGAUAGUCAUAUCUUCCAGGCAGAACAGGACUGGCGUACAUACAAACUCACAUAGACUGUGCACAGCAGCAUGCACAAGGCCUACACAUAUCCGUGCUAGAUAGGGUCCCGGUGCUCAGAGGGGAAGUAAACACAAGCCCCAUCCCUAACCAAGACACCAUCUACAAUUGACAACCACUCCAAAAGGAAAAAUGAGUUGUCUCCAUUGGAGUCUCAAUGGAUAUACAAGCCACACUUUAGGGCAGUUCCACACCCAGAAGUAGAUGGGCAACACAAAAUAAACUCAAUGAUGUUUUUGGAGAUGUUUUGUUUCAUAAUACUUUGGCCUUUUGUUAUUAAC